rnacentral:rRNA from 1 species
AUUGAACGCUGGCGGCAUGCCUUACACAUGCAAGUCGAACGGCAGCACGGGAGCAAUCCUGGUGGCGAGUGGCGAACGGGUGAGUAAUAUAUCGGAACGUGCCCAGUCGUGGGGGAUAACGCAGCGAAAGCUGUGCUAAUACCGCAUACGAUCUAUGGAUGAAAGCGGGGGAUCGCAAGACCUCGCGCGAUUGGAGCGGCCGAUAUCAGAUUAGGUAGUUGGUGGGGUAAAGGCUCACCAAGCCGACGAUCUGUAGCUGGUCUGAGAGGACGACCAGCCACACUGGAACUAAGACACGGUCCAGACUCCUACGGGAGGCAGCAGUGGGGAAUUUUGGACAAUGGGCGCAAGCCUGAUCCAGCAAUGCCGCGUGCAGGAUGAAGGCCUUCGGGUUGUAAACUGCUUUUGUACGGAGCGAAAAGGCUCUCUCUAAUACAGGGGGCUCAUGACGGUACCGUAAGAAUAAGCACCGGCUAACUACGUGCCAGCAGCCGCCGUAAUAC